UGUUCUUCUUGCCCCCGCAGUGUGUUUCCCUUGGAGGGAUAGGGAGAUUACACAACAUUUGUGUGUGUGUGUGUGUGUGUGUCCAUUCCAGUGCAGCGGGUGUGUGGAUUAUGGCCACACGCAGGAAUGAGGACAGAGGAUUUAGGACAGAACAAUGAGGAAUGAGGGCUGAAGAACGAGGACUGGGAUCUGAGGAAUGAGGACUGGGGAUUGGGGACUGAGGACAGAGCCGAAGGCGGACCGGACAGAAGGACAAAGAGCACAGAAGUGAGGAGCCACUCGGUGGGAGGAGCCUGUGAGGAGCCGCGCCGAGACCGACAGUUUCCGCGGAGGUGGAGGCUGGAGGAGAAAGGUGACCGACCGACCGACCGGCCGUCCGUGCCGAACGUGGAUCUGCGCUCCGCGCUUCCCUUGGCGGAACUUCUCGGCGCGUGGCGCACGUGUCUCCGCGAGCAGGGCGCUCGCGCGCCUCGGCAGACCGACCGGCUGCGUCUCCGCAGAAACGUCGUGAACGGAGGAGAGGAGUUGGAGAAGGAGGAUCAUCAGGAGGAUCAUCAGGAGGAUCGGAUCCCGAGGGCAGCGGCAGCAGGAGGAGGAAGAGGAGGAGGGGACCGUGGAAGAUGAUCGCCGCGGUUCUCCUCGUGCUCUGCGCGUCCCCGGCCCUGGGUUCCACACAGGUGGCGGCCGUCGUCCCGCAGGACCCCGCUCUGCUCAUCGGCUCCACCCUGACGGCCACCUGCUCCGUGAGCUCUGAUCUCGGUCUGCACGCCAGCCAGCUCUUCUGGACCCUGAACGGCCGGCGGCUCCCCAGCGCCACCUACAGCGUCGUCGGUCCCACUGCGCUCGCCGUCACCCUGCCCCGCCUCAGCGGCUCGCGGCAGCCCUCCGGGGACAACCUGGUGUGUCACUCUGGCGGCGGUCACGUGUUGGCCGGCUCCUGCCUCUAUGUGGGCAUGCCUCCUGAGAAACCAGUGAACCUGACCUGCUGGUCCCGCAAUACCAAAGACCUCACCUGCAAAUGGGUGCCAGGCGGACAAGGCGAGACCUUCAUCAGGACCAAAUACACCCUGAAGUACCGGCUCAGGUGGUAUGGGCGGGAGAAGGAGUGCGAGCCCCGCGGCACCGCCGAGCCCUACAGCUGCUACAUCCACCGCGACCUAGCCCUCUUCACACCCUACGAGAUCUGGGUGGAGGCCUCCAACCAGCUGGGCUCCGCCACCUCUGACGUCAUCACCUUGGACAUCCUGGAUGUGGUGACCACGGACCCCCCGGCCGACGUCCGGGUGAGCCGAGUCGGGGAGCUGGACGACCAGCUGACCGUGCGCUGGAGCAGCCCCCCCGCCCUCAAAGACUUCCUCUUCCAGGCCAAGUACCAGAUUCGCUACCGGCUGGAGGACAGCACUGACUGGAAGGUGGUGGACGACGUCGGCAAUGAGACGUCCUGCAGACUGGCGGGACUCCGACCGGACACCGUCUACUUUGUCCAGGUGCGCUGCAACCCCGUGGGCAUCUUCGGCUCCAGAAAGACGGGCAUCUGGAGCGAGUGGAGCAACCCUACGGCAGCGUCAACGCCCCGGAGCGAGCGGCUCCUGAGCGCGUCAUGUGACCCCAAGUCGGGUGAGCUGAACGCGGCGCUGCGGCGGGAGCUGAAGCAGUUCUUCGGCUGGGUGCGCGAACAUGCCGCGGGCUGCGGCGGCGUGAGCAUCAAGCUGUACGACCAGUGGCGCGUCUGGCUGCAGAAAUCGCACAAAACGCGCAACCAGGUCCAAGAAUGGAAAAGGGACGCGUGCGAGUGUGCCGAGGAGGGCUGCACCGCGCUCCCCUCCAGCGGAGACCAGCGAGGAGUCGUCCCCCCGCACGGACAAGGACACACGGACACACUCGACCAGCGGGAACCGGCGCCGAAGGAGAGGGUCGCGCUGCGAGCGUAACACUCGCUGAGUGUUGGAAGAGUGUCGGUGUAGAACGUGGCCUUAGAGCUUUAUCAUUAGAGUCACGUGCUGGAAGCAGCAGCCAGGAAUGGAGCGGAACUCAGACAGGCGUGAAGAAACCGCCCCCGCUUGCCUUUGUCUCUGCAGGAGUCGGCCAUUCACCUCACCUCAAAGGUGUAAUGUGAGUUUCCCAGAGAGGUGCCCCCGGCACCCCGCCCCCCCCUGCCCGCACAACCCGGCCGACGUGACGUCUUUCUGCGGCACGAAACUGCAGCAGCGAUGCGGAGGGCGGCCCACUGCAUGGCAACAUACGCACAAAUCGAUGCCUCGUGCAAUAUCAGCGGCGGGAGGAAGUCUGGUUGGGGGGGGCAGGGAACCCCAGCGCAUUGUCCUCACACUCAUGGGGGAGGAGCCUCGCUGCAGAUGAGGCGCUCGGAUUGGUGCCAGAGACCAGCAACCCCACGCUAUUGGGUGGCUGCAGAAGCCAGAAUACCAGAGUAAAUGGGGAGAGUAAAUGAG